rnacentral:rRNA from 1 species
UGGGGAAUUGUUCACAAUGGGCGCAAGCCUGAUGACGCAACGCCGCGUGGGGGAUGAAGGUCUUCGGAUUGUAAACCCCUGUCGAAUGGGACGAAAGACUCGCGAGUUAAUACUUCGCGGGAGUGACGGUACCGUUAAAGGAAGCCACGGCUAACUCUGUGCCAGCAGCCGCGGUAAUACAGAGGUGGCAAGCGUUGUUCGGAUUUACUGGGCGUAAAGGGCGCGUAGGCGGCGUGACAAGUCACUUGUGAAAUCUCCGGGCUUAACUCGGAACGGUCAAGUGAUACUGUUGUGCUAGAGUGCAGAAAGGGUAACUGGAAUUCUUGGUGUAGCGGUGAAAUGCGUAGAUAUCAAGAGGAACACCAGAGGCGAAGGCGAGUUACUGGGCUGACACUGACGCUGAGGCGCGAAAGCUAGGGGAGCGAACGGGAUUAGAUACCCCCGUAGUCCCUGAGCGGGCUGGCAAGGCGCAU